rnacentral:rRNA from 1 species
GAUGAACGCUAGCGACAGGCUUAACACAUGCAAGUCGAGGGGCAGCAUAAAAGUAGCAAUACUUUGGUGGCGACCGGCGCACGGGUGAGUAACGCGUAUGCAACAUACCUAUCAGAGGGGAAUAAACCGGCGAAAGUCGUACUAAUACCGCAUAAAAGAGGGGCACCGCAUGGUUAUAUUUGUUAAAGAAAUUCGCUGGCAGAUGGGCAAGCGUUUCAGUAGGUCGUUGGUAAGGUAACGGCUCACCAAGCCGACGAUGGAUAGGGGAACUGAGAGGUUGGUCCCCCACACUGGUACUGGGACACGGACCAGACUCCUACGGGAGGCAGCAGUGAGGAAUAUUGGUCAAUAGGCGAGAGCCUGAACCAGCCAAGUCGCGUGAAGGAAGAAGGAUCUAUGGUUCGUAAACUUCUUUUGCAGGGGAAUAAAGUGCGGGACGUGUCCUGUUUUGUAUGUACCCUGAGAAUAAGGAUCGGCUAACUCCGUGCCAGCCGCCGCAGUAA